AGGGUUUGAUCAUGGCUCAGAACGUACGCUGGCGGCACGCCUAAUACAUGCAAGUCGAACGAAGUAGCAAUACUUAGUGGCAGACGGGUGAGUAACAUGUGGGUAUCUUCCCUUUGGUGAGGAAUAACACGAGGAAACUUGUGCUAACACCUCAUAAGUCUUUACAGAGAAAGCUUUAUGCGCCAUUGGAUGAGCCUGCACUUGAUUAGUUUGUUGGUGGGGUAAUGGCCUACCAAGACAAUGAUCAAUAGCUGAUUUGAGAGGAUGAUCAGCCACAUUGGGACUGAGACACGGCCCAAACUCCUACGGGAGGCAGCAGUAGGGAAUCUUGCACAAUGGAGGAAACUCUGAUGCAGCGAUGCCGCGUGAGUGAAGAAGGCCUUUGGGUUGUAAAGCUCUUUCGUCGGGGAAGAAAAUGACUGUACCCGAAUAAGAAGGUCCGGCUAACUUCGUGCCAGCAGCCGCGGUAAUUC
rnacentral:rRNA from 1 species